rnacentral:misc_RNA from 1 species
GUAUGUAUAUAUUAUGCAACUCGACAUUCCAAACACAUUGAGAGAUUGUAAAAACAUAGACCUGAAAGGAUUUCAAGCCUACAGUUGGUGCACAGAGGAGAAAUGAGAUAAAAAUGACAAGCGUGCACAUGCAUCCGAGGGAGCCAGCAACAGCCUGUUCAAGUUUUAUUCGAUAAUGAUCCUUCCGCAGGUUCACCUACGGAAA